rnacentral:rRNA from 1 species
UACGUAGGUGGCAAGCGUUGUCCGGAUUUAUUGGGCUUAAAGGGUGCGUAGGCGGCUUAAUAAGUCAGUGGUGAAAGCCGAUCGCUUAACGAUCGAACUGCCAUUGAUACUGCUAGACUUGAGUAUAGUUGAGGUAGGCGGAAUUGACAGUGUAGCGGUGAAAUGCAUAGAUAUUGUCAGGAACACCAGUUGCGAAGGCAGCUUACUAAAGUAUAACUGACGCUGAGGCACGAAAGUGCGGGGAUCAAACAGG